rnacentral:rRNA from 1 species
CCUACGGGAGGCAGCAGUGGGGAAUAUUGCACAAUGGGGGAAACCCUGAUGCAGCGACGCCGCGUGAGUGAAGAAGUCAUUCGUUAUGUAAAGCUCUAUCAGCAGGGAAGAAAAUGACGGUACCUGAGUAAGAAGCCCCGGCUACCUACGUGCCAGCAGCCGCGGUCAUACGUAGGGGGCAAGCGUUAUCCGGAUUUACUGGGUGUAAAGGGGGCGUAGACGGCAGUGCAAGUCUGGAGUGAAAGGCGGGGGCUCAACCCCCGGACUGCUCUUGAAACUGUAAGGCUGGAGUGCAGGAGAGGUAAGUGGAAUUCCUAGUGUAGCGGUGAAAUGCGUAGAUAUUAGGAGGAACACCAGUGGCGAAGGUGGCUUACUGGACUGUAACUGACGUUGAGGCUCGAAAGCGUGGGGAGCAAACAGGAUUAGAUACCCGUGUAGUC